AAAAAAAAAAAAAGGAGGAUUUGGUAAGUUGCUAUUUAUUUAUGUGAGUAGUUUUUUUAGAAACAUUAUUCUAUAUUAAAGAUAAACAUUUUUUAAAUAUUUUUUACAGUGUUCGUGCUCCUUUCAAGAUGUCAGCAAACACCAAAAGUUUCUAUGUCACCCACAUUCAAGGAGAUCUACUCUGGGGACUUCAUUUAUUUGAACUGUGACGGCGCUUCGAGUGGGAGCACAGUGAAAUGGUACCAUGAAAACAAAGAACAAAACGUGUCAGUAAAAACCUUGGAGAUUGCAGUUGCUUCCCCCGAAACCUCCGGCAAUUAUCAAUGUGAGAGCAAUGGGCAAAAGAGUGACAACCUUAACAUCGAUGUCCUUGGAUCCUCUCCCAGUGCCAAUCUCAGUAUGAGCACAGGCCACCCAGUGAUGCAGACUGGAAGUUCAGUUAUCCUGCAAAUUGUGAAUGAGGAUGGUCUGCGGGGAUGGAACUGCUGGGUCUACAGGAAACCAGGAACAAUUAAUAAGAUUAAGAUUAGGUUGGACAACAGUACGACUUGGGUUUUCCAAACCAUGUCACUUAAAGCCUCUGAGUCCAUUUUCUGGUGUACUGAUAGUACUCAACAAAAAAGAAGUAACCAAAUCAUAGUCAGGACCUCAGGUAGGCAUACAGUCAUUUUAUUGCCCUGUUACACAACAACAAUUCUGUGCCUAAAGAUAGACGCCAUUGCAUUUUAUUCCAAAGCAUGAUUUUAAAGCUUUCAGAUUGUAGAUAUUCAUUUCUUAAGAUAAUGGCAGAUCAUCAUUUUAUAACUUUCUUACUCAUAGUUUUUUUUAAAACCAUUAUUUAAAUUUUAAUUUAAUAAAUCACUUCAUAAAUUGACGUUAAUUUUUAUUGGUAUUACUGAAUUCACUUAUUAGAUUUUAACACUGGAAAAAAGUUUUGUUCUGUGUCUUGACCACAGAAAUGUUAUUUUUAGUUGUUUAGUUUUUUAAUUUAUAGGGC